rnacentral:rRNA from 1 species
GAUGAACGCUAGCGGCAGGCCUAAUACAUGCAAGUCGAACGGUGUCUUCGGACAUAGUGGCGCACGGGUGCGUAACACGUAUGCAACCUACCUUACAUUGGGGGAUAGCCUUUCGAAAGGGAGAUUAAUACCGCAUAAGACAGUAGCUGGGCAUCCAGCAGCUGUUAAAGAUUUAUCGAUGUAAGCUGGGCAUGCGUCCAAUUAGCUAGUUGGUGAGGUAACGGCUCACCAAGGCAAUGAUUGGUAGGGAAACUGAGAGGUCAAUCCCCCACACUGGCACUGGGAUACGGGCCAGACUCCUACGGGAGGCAGCAGUAGGGAAUAUUGGGCAAUGGACGCAAGUCUGACCCAGCCAUGCCGCGUGCAGGAUGAAGGCGUUAUGCGUUGUAAACUGCUUUUAUACAGGAAGAAACGACUCUUGCGAGAGGCAUUGACGGUACUGUAUGAAUAAGCACCGGCUAACUCCGUGCCAGCCGCCGCAGUAACAC